AGAGAAUAGAUACCCUGGUAGUCCACGCUGUAAACGAUGAGUACUAGGUGUCGGGGGUAUCGACCCCUCCGGUGCCGAAAGCUAAACGCGAUAAGUACUCCGCCUGGGGACUACGGCCGCAAGGCUAAAACUCAAAGGAAUUGACGGGGGCCCGGCACAAGCAGCGGAGCGUGUGGUUUAAUUCGACGCAACGCGAAGAACCUUACCUGGGCUUGACAUGCACGUGGUAAAACCGUGAAAGCGGAAUGACCCGCAAGGGAGCGUGCACAGAUGCUGCAUGGCUGUCGUCAGCUCGUGCCGUGAGGUGUUGGGUUAAGUCCCGCAACGAGCGCAACCCUCGCUGCCAGUUACCAUGUCUGGCGGGACCGCCGGGUCCAACCCGGAGGAAGGUGGGGAUGACGUCAAGUCAGCACGGCUCUUACGUCCAGGGCUACACACACGCUACAAUGGCCGGUACAACGCGCAGCGAUGGGGCGACCCGGAGCGAAUCGCAUCAAAGCCGGUCUCAGUUGGGAUUGCAGGCUGCAACUCGCCUGC
rnacentral:rRNA from 1 species